UACGUAGGGGGCAAGCGUUGUCCGGAUUUAUUGGGCGUAAAGAGCGUGUAGGCGGCCAGGUAGGUCUGCUGUGAAACUCGAGGCUCAACCUCGAGACGUCGGCGGAAACCAUCUGGCUAGAGUCCGGAAGAGGAGAGUGGAAUUCCUGGUGUAGCGGUGAAAUGCGCAGAUAUCAGGAGGAACACCGGUGGCGAAGGCGGGUCUCUGGGCCAAAACUGACGCUGAGGAGCGAAAGCGUGGGGAGCGAACAGG
rnacentral:rRNA from 1 species